rnacentral:rRNA from 1 species
GACGAACGCUGGCGGCGUGCUUAACACAUGCAAGUCGAACGAAAAGACGGAAAGAGCUUGCUCUUUUCAGAAUUGAGUGGCAAACGGGUGAGUAACACGUAAACAACCUGCCUUCAGGAUGGGGACAACAGACGGAAACGACUGCUAAUACCGAAUAAGUUCCGAGAGCCGCAUGGCCCAUGGAAGAAAAGGUGGCCUCUACCUGUAAGCUAUCGCCUGAAGAGGGGUUUGCGUCUGAUUAGCUGGUUGGAGGGGUAACGGCCCACCAAGGCGACGAUCAGUAGCCGGUCUGGGAGGAUGAACGGCCACACUGGAACUGAGACACGGUCCAGACUCCUACGGGAGGCAGCAGUGGGGAAUCUUCCGCAAUGGGCGAAAGCCUGACGGAGCAACGCCGCGUGAGUGAUGACGGCCUUCGGGUUGUAAAGCUCUGUGAUCCGGGACGAAAAGGCAGACUGCGAAAAACAGACAGCAUUGACGGUACCGGAAAAGCAAGCCACGGCUAACUAC